GUGCUUGCUUGGGCAGCACAUAUACUAAAAUUGGAACGAUACAAAGAAGAUUAGCCUGGCCCCGGUGCAAUAGAUUUUUUGCAAUGCGGUGAAUGAGCAAAAGCAGUG